UGAGUGGUGUUGAGAGGAAGUAGAUGCUGGGGAUGAGUGGUGUAUGAAGAUCUAAUUCUCCUUGUUUUGUUUAUUAUCUCAGUGUAACUUUUUUCAAAGCAGUAUUCAUGACUACCUUACUUACUCUAUAGACAAUGAGGGUCGUGAAUACGUUCUGAGGCAUAUUCUCCGUAGAGCUGUUCGUUAUGGAAGUGAAGUUUUGAAAGCACAAGAAGGAUUCUUCAAUAGCCUCUUAAACAUUGUUGUAAAGGUGAUGGGUGAUGUUUUCCCUGAACUGAAACAAUAUGAAGUGCACAUCAGUUUAUAAUUGCUGAAGAGGAAGCAAGUUUUGGCAAGACAUUACUUAAGGUGAUGGAAGAGGACAUGUUCUGCUACAUUCAUGAAGGUGGUCAGCUAGUUAAAUGUGUUAGAGGGUCUAUUCAAUAUCAG